UCUACCAUCUAAAAAGGAAGAACUUCCUCUGUUUCCUCCGGUCAGAGGUUUCGUCCUACAUAUUUUCUUGGACUGUUUUGCCCUCCCACCAAAACUCGACUUAGUCAAACCUCCCAAUCAAAUGUGGCGCCCCUACGGCCCUAAUUUUUCUCGUCUCUCUCCUCGCCCAAUCGUGCAGGAUUCAUCCGAGUCCGCGGACGCCGCCGCCGCCGCCUCCCUCUAGCAGCCCAGCGCCGCCCUGCCCCCUGCCACCAUGGAUCCGGGCCGAGCUCCCCGCCUCCAUGGAUCCCAUCUCUUCGCCGCCAUGGAUCACGUAUCUUCGCCGCCAUGGAUCCCGGACCUGUACCCCACCAUCGACCUGGACUAGGUCGUGCACAUCCUGUGCUCCACGAACAGCGGCAUCCUCACGUGCCUCCGCAGUUUCCCGUUCCUCCGCAUCCCUCCGGACGCCGGACGACCUUGAGAUGGAUUGGAGGCCGCCCAGCCUUCUCCCUCCCUGUCGCCUCUUUGUGUGGCAGCUGGAGAUCGCGAAGCGCCUCCUCAGUGAGGACACGUCCGUGAGCGGCAGGGGCGUCUACACUGUGCUCGGCAUCUCCAACGCCAUCACCAACCUCCACAGUACGGCCGUACUGAUCCGUGUAUGAGAUAUGGAAUUUCAGUUUCCUAUCAGUAGCCUCAAAUCUGUAUUAUUCUCUCUGUAUUUUUUUAUCGGUCCGCGCCAUCUUCAGGCGAGUCUCCGCCUCCUGUGGGACGCCAUCCGUGAUCCCCUCUCCUACGCCGAGGGGUUGACGCAGCACAGCUCAAUGCCACUGCCAGGUCCCCUCUCCUAUGUUAAUUCAUGGUUUGAAGAUUUGAUGUGUAUUUCAAUAAAACAUGGGUACAGAUAUAUCUUUGUAAAACAUGGCAUAAUAUGUGGUCUCUUUUUGCUCGAGCUUUAUUUAUCUUUUCCAUCAUCGGUUAAUGUUGUAAGUCCCAUUUUCACAAUGUCAACUGCAGAUAUUAGAUAUGUUCAGUGUUUGUAGUGCUAAAUCAUCAGCCUAUGUUUGCCUAACUUCUGUAUACACCAUAUGAUCUGGUAUGCAGUUUCAUUUCAGAGAUAGUAUCUUAUAUGCAUGUUCUCUAAACUCUAUGGUCAUUUGAGAGUCAUGAGUCUGUGAUUGAUAUGACGUUAUGAAUUUGCUAACCUCAAAUAUGGCCACAAAAGAUUGAUUGUUAGUCGUCAGAUUUUAGAUAGUUUUGAACCUUUUUCUGAAAUGUUCAAAAUAACAUUUGAUCUACUGAUAAUUUAUGUAUGGUUUCUGCUGCAAUGCAUUAUUUGCUACCACAUUAGAAAUAUAGUGGGUAUUGUUUUUGACAGGGUAAUUUCUUGUCGCAAGAACUGAGGCUGGAAUCAUGGAAUUAUUCUUCCGCUCUUUUUCGCAUGAAGCAGCAGGACUGAACAUGCCAAUACAGUGGGCAUCAUUCACAACGAAGAGGAGGUAUUUUAUUGUUAUCCUUAAUUUUUUUCUUUUUAUCCAAUCAAGUGCCUUUAAGUCCUCUUACUUGAAUCCUUAGACAUGAUGUUUCUCUGUAAGGGUUGUCAUUCAAGCAUGUGGUAUAUCAUAUAUUCAUACAUGUAGCUGAGAAGAUAUCUUAGUUGGUGGUGCAUUUUUAUUUCAGAAUAGUAUGGAUGUAAUCUUCAUGCUAUCGUAUGAUUGAUUUGGGUUACACUCUACGCGAAUGCUUACCAAAUUGUUACUGAAGUGCAUCAUUUCUGAAGCAGUGAGGAUUAUUAUUUGAUUAGCCUAUACCUGCCACCAAGUUUAUGCUGGGGCAGAGUACUGAAAGUCUGAAACUAUUGUGUCGAGCUAAUUAAGAAGUCUAUUGUACCCAGCUUCAGUCUUGUGCGGAGAUUGCGUACAGGCUUAGGUUUCAUUGUCACUGAUCCUUCACAUAAAGGACUCAAGGUGCAGCACUUCUGAAGGGGGUGGGGAUUAUUCUCCAUUCACUGUGCCUAGAUUGCAAAUGUUCAGUAAGAAGCUUAGGUUUCACUAGCAUGAUCCAUCGCUGUAAGGUUAGUGGACAAUCGACACUUGACACCAGUUUACAAAGUAGCGGGAUGUGUUCCUUGAGAGCUUUGUAGAGCGACGGUGAUGCAGUAUAUAUGCAGCGCCGAGUUGAGAAGCAUACAUUUUCUUUCUGCAUUCGAACAUGCAUCUAAAUGGUGCUGAGGCGCGAGGUUAUUGUGAUUUUACCUCCGGGAGAAAAGGCAGGCGUGGCACAGUAGGCAUGCUUUUCUUGUUUUUUAUUUAUUUCACAUGUGUAAAUUAGUGGAAUUAUUUUCUUCAUAGAGUAAAUUCAUUUCCUAUGGGAACAUGUAGAAACUUGAUGGGUGAUGAACAGGUCAGUGAAGCGGUGGUAUUUUAUUGUUAUCCUUAUAAUCUUUUAUUUUCUCGAAUCAAGUGCCUUUGAAUCCUUUGACAUGAUGUUUCUUUGUAAGUCUGGUACUUCAAGAACGUGGUAUAUCAUAUUUCAUACAUGUAGCUGAGAAGCUAUCUUUGCUAGCACAAUCCCUGAAUGUAAACUUCAUUCAUGUUUCAGGUACACAUUUGCCUUUUGUUUCCUGUCUUUGUUCAGAUUGCUUGGUCUUACACAUCAUUUCAUUUAACUCGGAAUCUUAAUGUUAUGGCAUGUUUAAUCUUACAUGUCUGAGCUGGUUUUAACUGCUCACUAGAAAAACAUGAUGAUUUUCUAAGAGGCUGAAGUCAAUUAAAUAUCCAUAUGAACUAUCAGGUUGAUUGUUAAGAUCCGCCUUCCUCUGUGAAUACUAAAAAAUUCUUCCUUGUGUGCAGGAUUGCCUGGGGAUGGGAGGAAUCUGAUUUCUACCUAGAGCAUAUAAUAAGAUGUCCACAUGCUUCGUGGAAAUUCCCCUCAAUAUAAGUUCCUUAAUCCUACACUCCUUCUGCAACUUAUGUUGUUGAUCCACAUGUUGUGUAUGUUAUAAGCAACACUAGGCCUGAAGCUAUCUUAACAUUUGCUUGUUUGGUAAAAAAUGUACUCACGACUAGGAGCAACAAGUUAAUACUCUGGCCGUAGAAUAUGAUCUAAAAGUUGCCCGUAAAGUGUAUUCGGGACUGGGAGAAUCUAGGGACGAGUGGGUGCGCAUGCACGGCCUACCCCUCCCGCCGGCAGCGGCACGACCCAUCCGCACGCUUACCGUUGGCGGCAACCCGUGGGCCCGUAUCUCCCGAAAUACACCUAUCAUCAAUGUGAGUUGUUGUAGUAUGCAUGAUAAAUAUUCAGCGCACUUCAAGAUAGCCCCUAAUUUCCUUUUUUUAACGUCUUACACUUUAUGAUGGGUCGUUUUAUUGAAUAGUCGCUAAUGUCUGCUAAAUAUUCAGCACGCUGCAAGAUAUUUUGUAUUCCAGUUGAGAUUUGUGUUUCUUUAUGCAAUGACUACUAGCUAAGUGACUGCAAGAGUCUGCCAUGAGCAGAUUCCAGAUCAAAUAUAGUCAAACUAUCAUUAUCUUCCUUUGUGUUUACUUCAGUUGUACAAAUAGGGCUUUGCUCAAUUCUGUGGAUCAGCUAUAGUUAUAUACAAGGUAUUUGUGAUGGUGCAUCACAAGAAUAUGACACCAUUCUGUAAACGCCCUUUCUUCCUUGCACUCUUAUGUCCAUACACAGUAACUAUGUGAUGUGCAAAAGGAGCAUUCCUCAUUUAAUAUUUAAAGAUUUAGUUUUAUUUCCAUUGCAUGGUGGUAAUGCUCUUUUGUUUGUAUUAUUUAAAUCUUUUUCUAUGACAGUAUAUAUAUUUGAGAAGCAGCAAAGUGAUUUCAAGCUAUAUUAAAGCGUUCUACCCAUAUUUUAAAGGUUGAACCACUUUUUAUGGUCUUACUUGUCUUUUCUUCCGUGCAAUGGAAAAAAUAUUGAUGCUUUUUUGCUCUAAUACCAAGGUUCGAAAAAUUAUAGGGAUGAAAAGAUUAUUAAUAUUUUGUACUGGGUGAUGGGUUAUGUUGAUCUAAAUCAUUUGUUGCUGACCUCCAUCCAGGUUAAUUUUGUGCAGGUUUGCUAGAACGCGAGCAGCAGUAGCUGAUUGCCAUUCCUUGAGGAUCUAGAACCUUUCACCACGAACCUCGACGAGCUUGCUCCUAAAUGCCUCAAGAACAUACUCACUGAUUUCAUUCCUCUUAUGUGUCUGCAUCACCGCAGGAGGAUUUGAAGAAACUUUCUUCGAUUUCUCCAUCAAGGUCGACAACACGAAGACAAAGAAGUCCAUCAUCCAGAAGGAGAAACACAGAACUACUGAAUCACAUGGACAAUGGCAACGGAGUCGUCAACGAGGUGUGUUAUGUGCACCAUCGUGACCUACAUCGAUAACACUACGAGGUCUUCUGCGGUGCUAAAGCUAAAGGUUGAGGAGUGACACACACAGGAGGAACAAAUGGAAAGGAAGACGAAGUGGGUAUAUAUAUUGAAUUUGUGAUAAUGCUGGAGAGAUUAGAGCUGGGUUAUUUUGAUCAGUCUUGGCAGAGCUCGGUAGAUGAAUGAGAAAUUCCCUCCAAUAAAUUGGUUGUUGCGCAUGCGCGUGAUACUUGGAAAGGAGAAACGGUAGAAGCAUGAAUUGUCACGAUGUUAUAAUGUUAUAUGAGAAAGUGCUUUUGUA